GAGUUAAUGCGCAAAAGGAAGAGUGAUAAAGGUGAGUCGGAGGCUAGCGGUCGCUGGGUUGUGCCGCUGGAUUUACCAAAUGUAUUCGAGAAACUUACUGCUCGAGUAUAGUGAUGGUGUGUUUGUUCGAUCGUUCCGCUAUUGAUUUUCGAGGAGGAUAACUUGGCUUUUGUAUUGGACAAGGCUGGAAGGUAUCUUUGAUACGUCACUCAUUUUUAAAAUUGAAAUAUAUCCCAUCGCACGUUUGAUCGGAAAUAAAAGAACGCGUUGGUGAAUCGACUACUUGCCUCUGAAUCAUCGAUAAAAACGAUAGAGAUAAAGAAAAAUGAUGGAAAGGUGUGGAACACCUCGGCUCUCACCUUGACUGUGUCCGUCGACGUUUUCAAUGGACUCGGCGUAAGGCGGAUACGUGGCUGCUCCCGUAGUCUGUGCUGGCGUCGUCGUCGUCGUCGUCGACUCGUCGGUCUUUUUCAUCAACGCCUGUGGACAUUAAAAGGUACCUUUAUUCUCUUUGCUCAGCUAGUCUACCAGCGGCUCUAUGUUUAUUCUGUCUCUGUUGUUGCUGUACGAGAUGUAUAAGGCAAAAAUGUAAAAAAAGAGAUAAACAAAGUCAACUACGAACUUCAAAUUCAAAUUGUAUAUUAAAGCAGCAGAUACGAGCUUUGUUAAUUAUUCGCAUCGAAACAAAAAGGAAGCCGCCGGCAACAUUAAAGCCACCAUCAAUCAUACGAAAACAAGAGUAUUAAAAAAAAUCGUUGUCAGAAAGAGACGUUAAGCUGGAUCUAAAGUAUUUCA